rnacentral:lncRNA from 1 species
UAGGAACCUUGAGGCAGAAAGGUUAUAAUUUUAAGGUCAAUCUCAAUUGCAUAAAGAGAUCUCAAAAACAAAAAAUUACCUGACAAGUAAGAAAGGCCAUAAUUUGCAUCAUGAAAAUUUGCCUCCUAAGAAACAACCUUUUCUGCUUUGGAGGAGGUUGGCAUGUUACUGGUAGACGCUCCACAGGCUGCUGCUUCUAGAAACCACCUGGUUGUGUUGGCUGUGUGACCUGCAGUUGGAAAAAUUCAUUCACUGGGUAACUCAUACAGAGAGGGAAUGCGCUUAGCUGCUGUCAACUCUCUCCAAUUUUCUAGACUGUUUUUUGGAAGGAGGGUUCCAGUGUUUGUGGUUUAAUAUCAAUAGCUCUGUGUCUUAACUCAAAUAAGUAUAGAGAAGUUGCUUCCUAUAGAGUGCUGGGCCAGGAUAGUCAUGGCCUUGUUACAGUAAACACAGUCUCUUGUUUACAUGUUUGACUGGGUGUUCUACUUUUACAGUGUUGUCAUGACUGGAUCCUACAAUAAUUUCUUCAGAAUGUUCGACAGGAACACAAAGCGGGAUAUAACUCUAGAAGCAUCGCGAGAAAACAAUAAGCCUCGUACAGUUUUGAAACCACGCAAAGUCUGUGCAAGUGGCAAGCGAAAGAAAGAUGAAAUAAGUGUUGACAGUCUAGACUUCAACAAGAAAAUCCUUCAUACAGCCUGGCAUCCCAAGGAAAACAUCAUUGCUGUAGCGACUACAAACAAU